GUCGACGGUAAGGCCCCUUCGGGGGUACACGAGUGGCGAACGGGUGAGUAACACGUGGGUGAUCUGCCCUGCACUCUGGGAUAAGCCUGGGAAACUGGGUCUAAUACCGGAUAUGAGCUCCUGUCGCAUGGCGGGGGUUGGAAAGGUUUACUGGUGCAGGAUGGGCCCGCGGCCUAUCAGCUUGUUGGUGGGGUAAUGGCCUACCAAGGCGACGACGGGUAGCCGGCCUGAGAGGGCGACCGGCCACACUGGGACUGAGACACGGCCCAGACUCCUACGGGAGGCAGCAGUGGGGAAUAUUGCACAAUGGGCGAAAGCCUGAUGCAGCGACGCCGCGUGAGGGAUGACGGCCUUCGGGUUGUAAACCUCUUUCAGCAGGGACGAAGCGAGAGUGACGGUACCUGCAGAAGAAGCACCGGCCAACUACGUGCCAGCAGCCGCGGUAAUACGUAGGGUGCGAGCGUUGUCCGGAAUUACUGGGCGUAAAGAGCUCGUAGGCGGUUUGUCGCGUCGUCCGUGAAAACUUGGGGCUCAACCCCAAGCUUGCGGGCGAUACGGGCAGACUUGAGUACUGCAGGGGAGACUGGAAUUCCUGGUGUAGCGGUGAAAUGCGCAGAUAUCAGGAGGAACACCGGUGGCGAAGGCGGGUCUCUGGGCAGUAACUGACGCUGAGGAGCGAAAGCGUGGGUAGCGAACAGGAUUAGAUACCCUGGUAGUCCACGCCGUAAACGGUGGGCGCUAGGUGUGGGUUUCCUUCCACGGGAUCCGUGCCGUAGCUAACGCAUUAAGCGCCCCGCCUGGGGAGUACGGCCGCAAUGCU
rnacentral:rRNA from 2 species